CUUGCUGAUGCGUGGUUCACGCAUGGCAUCAUGCUCUGAUACCUCCCCAGAUACAGCUUUCUGCCUCUCCUGCUACCAGGGCACCGUACCUAUUCUGCAACUGUGGACCUGUAGGUGGAGAAGGAACUGCUGUCCAUGUGCCAGAAGUCAUGUUAGUUAUUUUCAUCUCAUAAUUUCUAAUCAAUAUUGCAUUCAGCAUCACACCAGCUUGAAAGGAGGCAGAUAACAGCAUGUCAGAGAAGAGUGAGGGCUGGCUGCUCCCUGAAGUACAGAGAUCCUGGAGUCAAGAGCAGUAGUACUGCCAAGAAGGUAAGGGUCUCACCAGCAAGAGACCAGCUCCCAAUUCCCAGACGGUGCAAGCAGAGCAAGCCCAAUGAUGGUGGCUGGGUAUCACAAGAAGUCUGGGGUGGAAUGUGGAUUUAUUCAGUAGAAUAAUGUAAUUGGUUUUGUUCACAAUUUCCUAAUUUAAUUCUUUUUGGCCUUCCUUUGAGCAUUAGUUUUCACCAAGAACAACUGUCAAUAGUUACAUGAUUACUUUCAGGGGCAUUGAUAGCUUAUUGUUAUAUGUAGUUUGCUCUAAAAGUAAUGCCUCCUAUUUAUUUCCAUGGAAACCACAAAGCACACAAUAAUGCUGUUUGACAGAGUAAAUUCUCAGCUACAAAACACUUUUUUUCAACAGAAUCACCACCAUUAGCUAUUCAUUUUCAGCAGCGAUGAACAAGAGUCAGCAUGCUCUGCUCAUAAAAAUCUGCAUGACCAUCCGGAACAUGGCUUGUCUGUUAGAUCACUGUCACCACUGCCGAAAUGCACCACCCAUCACCUCACUGUGCUCACAUCCACUGUUUGGUCUACAUAAACAUUCAGCAAACAUUGAUGAAUGUCAGCAGG
rnacentral:lncRNA from 1 species